UCGGGAAUUUUGGGCAAUGGGCGAAAGCCUGACCCAGCAACGCCGCGUGAGGGAUGAAGUAUUUCGGUAUGUAAACCUCGAAAGAAUGGGAAGAAUAAAUGACGGUACCAUUUAUAAGCUCCGGCUAACUACGUGCCAGCAGCCGCGGUAAUACGUAGGGAGCAAGCGUUGUUCGGAUUUACUGGGCGUAAAGGGCGCGUAGGCGGCGCGGUAAGUCACUUGUAAAAUCUCUGAGCUUAACUCAGAACGGCCAAGUGAUACUGCUGUGCUAGAGUGCGGAAGAGGCAACCGGAAUUCUUGGUGUAGCGGUGAAAUGCGUAGAUAUCAAGAGGAACACCUGAGGCGAAGGCGGGUUGCUGAGCCGACACUGACGCUGAUGCGCGAAAGCCAGGGGAGCAAACG
rnacentral:rRNA from 1 species